AACGAACGCUGGCGGCAGGCCUAACACAUGCAAGUCGAGCGCGCCUUCGGGUGAGCGGCGGACGGGUGAGUAACGCGUGGGAAUAUGCCCUUCUCUACGGAAUAGUCCUGGGAAACUGGGGGUAAUACCGUAUACGCCCUUUGGGGGAAAGAUUUAUCGGGGAAGGAUUAGCCCGCGUUGGAUUAGGUAGUUGGUGGGGUAAUGGCCUACCAAGCCGACGAUCCAUAGCUGGUUUGAGAGGAUGAUCAGCCACACUGGGACUGAGACACGGCCCAGACUCCUACGGGAGGCAGCAGUGGGGAAUCGUAGACAAUGGGGGCAACCAUGAUCUAGCCAUGCCGCGUGAGUGAUGAAGGCCGUAGGGUUGUAAAGCUCUUUCAGCUGGGAAGAUAAUGACGGUACCAGCAGAAGAAGCCCCGGCUAACUCCGUG
rnacentral:rRNA from 1 species